rnacentral:rRNA from 1 species
GACGUAGGGCGCGAGCGUUGUCCGGAUUUAUUGGGCGUAAAGAGCUCGUAGGCGGCUUGUUGCGUCGACCGUGAAAACCCGGGGCUCAACUUCGGGCUUGCGGUCGAUACGGGCGGGCUAGAGUUCGGGUAGGGGAGACUGGAAUUCCUGGUGUAGCGGUGAAAUGCGCAGAUAUCAGGAGGAACACCGGUGGCGAAGGCGGGUCUCUGGGCCGAUACUGACGCUGAGGAGCGAAAGCGUGGGGAGCGAACAGG